rnacentral:rRNA from 1 species
CAGUCGCCGCGGUAAUACAGAGGGUGCGAGCGUUAAUCGGAUUUACUGGGCGUAAAGCGUGCGUAGGCGGCUUUUUAAGUCGGAUGUGAAAUCCCUGAGCUUAACUUAGGAAUUGCAUUCGAUACUGGGAAGCUAGAGUAUGGGAGAGGAUGGUAGAAUUCCAGGUGUAGCGGUGAAAUGCGUAGAGAUCUGGAGGAAUACCGAUGGCGAAGGCAGCCAUCUGGCCUAAUACUGACGCUGAGGUACGAAAGCGUGGGGAGCAAACAGGAUUAGAUACCCCCGUAGUCCCUGUCUCUUAUAC